AUUGAACGCUGGCGGCAUGCCUUACACAUGCAAGUCGAACGGCAGCACGGGUGCUUGCACCUGGUGGCGAGUGGCGAACGGGUGAGUAAUACAUCGGAACGUACCUUAUCGUGGGGGAUAACGCAGCGAAAGCUGUGCUAAUACCGCAUACGCCCUGAGGGGGAAAGCGGGGGAUCGAAAGACCUCGCGCGAUUAGAGCGGCCGAUGCCUGAUUAGCUUGUUGGUGGGGUAAAAGCCCACCAAGGCGACGAUCAGUAGCUGGUCUGAGAGGACGGUCAGCCACACUAGGACUGAGACACGGCCCAGAGUCCUACGGGAGGCAGCGGUGGGGAAUUUUGGACAAUGGGGGCAACCCUGAUCCAGCAAUGCCGCGUGAGUGAAGAAGGCCUUCGGGUUGUAAAGCUCUUUUGUCAGGGAAGAAACACCGGCUCUAACACAGUCCGGGAAUGACGGUACCUGAAGAAUAAGCACCGGCUAACUACGUGCCAGCCGCCGCGGUAA
rnacentral:rRNA from 1 species